rnacentral:lncRNA from 12 species
UGUCAUUUGUGGUGUAUUUAUUUAUGUAUAAAGCUAACCUGACAAGGAUGGACGCUUUAGGAUAUUUUAGGAGAUUUGGCAGUAGCUCAGGUGGUUGGCAGUAGCCUGCCAGCUAUUAAAUGGUUCUGAAUAUAUGGAGACUUGUAAUUUCCUUCUCCAAGAGGCUUUGCCAAAGAGACCAGGCCAUGUGGCAUAAUCCCUGAGCACACAUUGGCAUAAGCAGGAGCUCUGUUUGUGCAAAUGGAUUCUUGGAACCAAUCAGACGAGCGUGUUGUUUCAUCUUUUGGCCCAAUACUAUAAACUGGCACAAAUAACACUCCCCCUGCCAUGCACCAAAGUUCAGAAUAAUAAAUCAGCCGCCCUGUAAUUAUAUUGGGAGAGCCAGCUUUAUUCUCUGAGUGAGCAGCUUGAUGUAUCUGUUUAGACGGGAUGCCUAGGGCUCUCUGGGAGCCUGGGCCGACUUCCUAGAGUCCAGGCGGGGCGGGCCCUGCCCCAGAUCCCCGGGUGUAGAGGUGAGCUCCCGCUGUGUCGGUCUGCUGGGACUAAACUGGUUUGCAAACCUGUCUGGCUCCUCUGAGAGGUCCAUAGCUGUCAAAAAUAAAGCGAAGCCAUGGGCUGGGGAUGGCAGGAAGAUCCAAGCUCAUUCACCAGAACGCGCAGCAGAAAGGGAGGCUGAAAGCCUUCCUUCCCGAGUGAUAGCAUUCGAGGACAGUCCUGGACAGGGAAGGUUGGACCAGACCUGCGUCCCUCCUGGAGCAGCCACCAUCUCAAAUGUUGCCCGUUGCUGUGGGCACAAGGAAACAGGAUUGUGGGAGGCCCGGCACCAGCAGUGAAAUGCUCCGGGCUGGAAGUGCCACUGUCACUUCUGUCCCCGACUCCCUGGCCAGAAUUUGCAACAUGGUCACACACUGGACCCCCUGCCUGGAAGACGUGGGUGAAGACAGUGCCUAGGAGAUAGUGCAGGCGCUCUGGGCGGACAGGACUGAGGACGUCCACAGCUCCUGCGGCUGUUCUGCUUCUGCAGUGAAAGCACUUGGCUCUCCCAGAUGGAGUGACCUUCACCUUGUUGGUUGCUGGCUGUCACUGUUGGUUAAGGAGAACUGCAGGCUUCUGGGAAGGGCUUCCAGAGUGUCUUAGAGUACGGCAGGCUGAACAUAAGGCUCUAUUUAGCUAUUUCAUGGCAAUCUGGGCUACUGGACCAUCUGCAGUAUAAAUGACUUAUAAAUGUGCUCCAUUAAAAAUUAAAAAAAAAAAAAAACCCACUACCAGUUCUAACACUUUAAACAUGUCAGCUCAAAGACAACAUGAGAAAUACUGUCCAUAAGCCCCCUGCAUGCCCACCUCUCCUAUCCAAAGCU